ACUUUUGUGCUUGCACAGAAUGAUUAGUGGCGAACGGGUGAGUAACACGUGAGUAACCUGCCCCUGACUCUGGGAUAAGCCUGGGAAACUGGGUCUAAUACCGGAUAUGCACCGUGGACCGCAUGGUUUUUGGUGGAAAGAUUUUUUGGUCAGGGAUGGACUCGCGGCCUAUCAGCUUGUUGGUGAGGUAAUGGCUCACCAAGGCGACGACGGGUAGCCGGCCUGAGAGGGUGACCGGCCACACUGGGACUGAGACACGGCCCAGACUCCUACGGGAGGCAGCAGUGGGGAAUAUUGCACAAUGGGCGAAAGCCUGAUGCAGCGACGCCGCGUGAGGGAUGACGGCCUUCGGGUUGUAAACCUCUUUCAGUAGGGAAGAAGCGAAAGUGACGGUACCUGCAGAAGAAGCGCCGGCUAACUACGUGCCAGCAGCCGCGGUAAUACGUAGGGCGCAAGCGUUAUCCGGAAUUAUUGGGCGUAAAGAGCUCGUAGGCGGUUUGUCGCGUCUAUCGUGAAAGUCCGAGGCUCAACCUCGGAUCUGCGGUGGGUACGGGCAGACUAGAGUGAUGUAGGGGAGACUGGAAUUCCUGGUGUAGCGGUGAAAUGCGCAGAUAUCAGGAGGAACACCGAUGGCGAAGGCAGGUCUCUGGGCAUUAACUGACGCUGAGGAGCGAAAGCAUGGGGAGCGAACAGGAUUAGAUACCCUGGUAGUCCAUGCCGUANACGUUGGGCACUAGGUGUGGGGGACAUUCCACNUUUUCCGCGCCGUAGCUAACGCAUUAAGUGCCCCGCCUGGGGAG
rnacentral:rRNA from 1 species